CAAGUCGAGCGGGCGUAGCAAUACGUCAGCGGCAGACGGGUGAGUAACGCGUGGGAACGUACCUUUUGGUUCGGAACAACACAGGGAAACUUGUGCUAAUACCGGAUAAGCCCUUACGGGGAAAGAUUUAUCGCCGAAAGAUCGGCCCGCGUCUGAUUAGCUAGUUGGUAGGGUAAUGGCCUACCAAGGCGACGAUCAGUAGCUGGUCUGAGAGGAUGAUCAGCCACAUUGGGACUGAGACACGGCCCAAACUCCUACGGGAGGCAGCAGUGGGGAAUAUUGGACAAUGGGGGCAACCCUGAUCCAGCCAUGCCGCGUGAGUGAUGAAGGCCCUAGGG
rnacentral:rRNA from 1 species